rnacentral:rRNA from 1 species
CCUACGGGCGGCAGCAGUAGGGAAUCUUCCACAAUGGGCGAAAGCCUGAUGGAGCAACGCCGCGUGAGUGAAGAAGGUCUUCGGAUCGUAAAACCCUGUUGUUAGAGAAGAAAGUGCGUGCGAGUAACUGUUCACGUUUCGACGGUAUCUAACCAGAAAGCCACGGCUAACUACGUGCCAGCAGCCGCGGUAAUACGGAGGUGGCAAGCGUUAUCCGGAUUUAUUGGGCGUAAAGGGAACGCAGGCGGUCUGUUAAGUCUGAUGUGAAAGCUUUCGGCUUAACCGGAGUAGUGCAUUGGAAACUGGGAGACUUGAGUGCAGAAGAGGAGAGCGGAAUUCGAGGUGUAGCGGUGAAAUGCGUAGAUAUAUGGAAGAACACCAGUGGCGAAAGCGGCUCUCUGGUCUGUAACUGACGCUGAGGUUCGAAAGCGUGGGUAGCAAACAGGAUUAGAUACCCGUGUAGUC